rnacentral:rRNA from 1 species
UUCCUUGGAAAAGGACAGCUGANAGGGUGACACUCCCGUCCGCCUGGCAAAGUGAGUCAUUUGUCAACGAGUCGAGUUGUUUGGGAUUGCAGCUCUAAUUUGGUGGUAAAUUCCAUCUAAAGCUAAAUAUUGGUGGGAGACCGAUAGCGUACAAGUACCGUGAGGGAAAGAUGCAAAGAACUUUGAAAAGAGAGUUAAAGAGUACCUGAAACUGCUGAAACGGAAGCGAAGGAAACCAGUGUUUGUUUGUUCAUAUUUCCCUAGCCACUUGUGGCUUGGGCG